UACGGAAGGUCCGGGCGUUAUCCGGAUUUAUUGGGUUUAAAGGGAGCGUAGGCCGGAGAUUAAGCGUGUUGUGAAAUGUAGACGCUCAACGUCUGCACUGCAGCGCGAACUGGUUUCCUUGAGUACGCAUAAAGUGGGCGGAAUUCGUGGUGUAGCGGUGAAAUGCUUAGAUAUCACGAAGAACUCCGAUUGCGAAGGCAGCUCACUGGGGCGCAACUGACGCUGAAGCUCGAAAGCGCGGGUAUCGAACAGG
rnacentral:rRNA from 1 species